GAUGAAGAACGUAGCGAAAUGCGAUACGUAGUGUGAAUUGCAGAAUUCAGUGAAUCAUCGAAUCUUUGAACGCACAUUGCACCUCUCGGUAUUCCGGGAGGUAUGCCUGUUCGAGCGUCAUUUGUACCCUCAAGCUCUGCUUGGUGUUGGGUGUUUGUUCCGCCUCUGUGUGUGAACUCGCCUCAAAACAAUUGGCAGCCGGCGUACUUGUUUCGAGCGCAGCACAUUUUGCGAUCCAGAUCAACGUACAGCGGCAUCCAAGAAGCCUUAUUUAACGCUCUUGACCUCGGAUCAGGUAGGGAUACCCGCUGAACUUAAGCAUAUCAAUAAGCGGAGGA
rnacentral:misc_RNA from 1 species